AUCCAGUUGACGGGUCCCAAACAGGACGAAACGCUCGUCCUGGAU
rnacentral:hammerhead_ribozyme from 1 species